rnacentral:rRNA from 1 species
GGAGCACAAUGCUUAGUGGCGACCGGGUGCGUAACACGUAGUCGACCUGCCCGCGCGCGGGGGAUAACAGUCCGAAAGGGCUGCUAAUACCGCAUACAUUUGAGGUUUCCAGAAAGCCUUGAAGAAACUUCCGGGGCGCGCGGAGGGGGCUGCGGCCCAUCAGGUAGUUGGUGCGGUAACGGCGCACCAAGCCAACGACGGGUAGGGGGCCUGAGAGGGCUACCCCCCACACUGGGACAGACACACGGCCCAGAC